GGGUCGUUAGCUCAGUGGUAGAGCGCGACACUGAUAAUGUCGAGGUCGAAGGUUCAAUCCCUUCACGACCCA
rnacentral:tRNA from 1 species